GCGUCCGUAGCUCAGUGGCAAGAGCGCGGUCCUCCGAAGGCCGAGGCCGGUGGUUCGAACCCACCCGGACGUUCCA
rnacentral:tRNA from 1 species